rnacentral:lncRNA from 1 species
GCAAUUGCUUAUAUACCUCUAAAAAGUUCUCGACUUUUCGAUUUACCCCUCUUAGAAGGUUAGUAUUAAAAAUACCCCUCCUACGUUCUAACCUAUUUCUAAUAUACCCUUAGAGUUAAAAUUUGUUAAAUAACUCUCUUAUCUUUAUAAAAUUAUUAUUUUGCCCUUUCAAAUAUACCAUUCCGCCAUCAGUCUUUCUUAUUUGCCCUUAAAGUCAGGGGCAAAAAAAGUGUUUUGAUGUUUAGUCUUUUCCAAUAUACCCCUCUACCAUCACCAACAUUUCUUAUUUGCCCUUAAGUUAAGGGCAAAAUUGACAUUUUAAUAUUUUUUAACUGUGGUAGAUAUUUAACUCACGUUUAACCCAGGUUAACUUAACAGGAGAUAACUGCAGGUACAUGUCAAAAAAGUGCUGCUAGCUAAAAUUAUCGACACUUUUAAAAAGUGUUGCUAUAUGUGGGGUCGCUAGAUAUAUAGUGACAGUUAAAGAGUGUCGCUAUAACCUAAAAGAGUGCUGCUAAUUUACCAACACUUAUUUAAGCAUUUAGCAACCGCUGAAACUCUAUCUCGUUGGCUGCGGUGGCGGAGGAGGACGACAGGAAAGGCUGUUCGUCUAGAAUUUCAGUGGAUUGAGUGAAGAGAGAAGAAAAGAUGAUAAUUGAUUUUUUUUUUUCUUUUUUGUUUGUAAUUGGGCCAAAUGGACUGGGUGUGAUGGGUUGAGUAGAGUAAUCUUUUAUUUUUGGUUGGAUUGGGCUUUAUAUUUAGGCAUUAGUAGAUAUUUUUUUAAGUUUUAGGAUAAAUAGGACACUUAUUCAAAAAUGUCCCAAACAUCUGUCCCUAUAACCUAAUUCUGUUGUAGUGGGAGUUUCCUUCUAGCUAGUAAAGUGCAACAGUGUACUGUCCUACUUAACUAAGAAAUUUUUCUAACAAGUGAAAUCACAUAAAAGCAAACUACAACUUUUUAAAUUAUAGAGUAUACAAAUAAAUGCUGCUAAAUAACCAAAGGGGUCUGAUUGAAGUUUUAUCCAAUUCGACAAAAAAAAAAAAAAGAGGUGCAAUUGCUUAUAUACCUCUUAAAAGUUCCCAACUUUCCGAUUUAUCCAUCUUAGAAGGUUAAUAUUGAAAAUACCCCUCCUACGUUCUAACCUAUUUCUAAUAUACCCUUAGAGUUAAAAUCUAUUAAAUAACUCUCUUAUCUCUAUAAAAUUAUUAUUUUGCCCUUUCAAAUAUAUCAUUCCACCAUCAGUCUUUCUUAUUUGCCCUUAAAGUCAGGGGCAAAAAAAGUGUUUUGAUUUUUAGUCUUUUCCAAUAUACCCCUCUACCGUCACCAAUAUUUCUUAUUUGCCCUUAAGUUAAGUGCAAAAUUGACAUUUUAAUAUUUUUUAACUGUGGUAGAUAUUUAACUCACGUUUAACCGAGGUUAACUUAACAGAAAAUAACUGCGGGGGUAUUUUGCAAUAACGGUGGAAUAUAUAAGGGGUAUUUUAGGAAGAAAAAAAAAGUAGGGGUAAAUUGAAUAUUUCCAAACAUAUGAAUCAUUCACC